CCAACCCGAUGCAAACUGCGAAUACCGGAGAAUGUUAUCACGGGAGACACACGGCGGGUGCUAACGUCCGUCGUGAAGAGGGAAACAACCCAGACCGCCAGCUAAGGUCCCAAAGUCAUGGUUAAGUGGGAAACGAUGUGGGAAGGCCCAGACAGCCAGGAUGUUGGCUUAGAAGCAGCCAUCAUUUAAAGAAAGCGUAAUAGCUCACUGGUCGAGUCGGCCUGCGCGGAAGAUGUAACGGGGCUAAACCAUGCACCGAAGCUGCGGCAGCGACGCUUAUGCGUUGUUGGGUAGGGGAGCGUUCUGUAAGCCUGUGAAGGUGUGCUGUGAGGCAUGCUGGAGGUAUCAGAAGUGCGAAUGCUGACAUAAGUAACGAUAAAGCGGGUGAAAAGCCCGCUCGCCGGAAGACCAAGGGUUCCUGUCCAACGUUAAUCGGGGCAGGGUGAGUCGACCCCUAAGGCGAGGCCGAAAGGCGUAGUCGAUGGGAAACAGGUUAAUAUUCCUGUACUUGGUGUUACUGCGAAGGGGGGACGGAGAAGGCUAUGUUGGCCGGGCGACGGUUGUCCCGGUUUAAGCGUGUAGGCUGG
rnacentral:rRNA from 1 species